GCAGACUUGGCAGUCACGUCAUGUGAUAAGAUAACAAGUGUAGAAGGUUGCAUCACAGCUGAUAACAGACAGACAGGCAGCAACACAACACAAGGUUGAUUCUCGCGUCAGAGAGGUCACCUCUCAUCUACACUCUGUUAACAUUAUCUGAUGAACUUCUAUGAAAUGAGCAGAGUCUGCACUGUACCAUUAGCCUUGGCUCUCUCACGACCACUCUUACUUCAGCCUCUCCCUUUCCAAGAACAUCUGGAAUUCCAACUGACAACAAUUUGCAAUUCAGCGUCUACUAGCUCAGUACAUUUCUUGUUACUUAAUCCCAACAAGUUUUCACCUUGGCUCUCCUCUAUAACCCUUUUACUUGCAGCUUUCUAAUUCAUAAUUUUAUGCAGUUAUUAUUAAAUUAUUUAUGCCCUUUAAA